AAGCUCUUCAAUUAAGGUGUAGACAAAGUGGUUUGACUCCUCUUGAUUAAAAACUCUGAAAGGGAGAGAACACAAACCUUAAAACAUUUGCUUUUCAAAGCAAGCAAGGCAGGUGGGGGAGGGGGAGAGAGAGAGAGAGAGAGAGAGAGAGAGAGAGAGAGAGAGAGAGAGAGAGAGAGAGAGAGUUCAAAAUUGCCAGAUGUCAGUUUAAAGGGGGCUAAGAAUUCCUAAGCCUUUGUUUACCAAAUCCUUGCUCAGAAAACUCAGAGAAUCCAGGGCUUUGAGUACCUGGCAGAGGAGGCCACCCAAAGGCCAAGGCAAGGAUGCUGAUGUUCAAGGUGUGAAAUGAAUUGUCCUCAAGCUGACGGAAGGGCUGAACGUAAAAUCCACACGUUCAGGCUCUGGGCCUGUGGUUUUUGUUAUUGUUUUGAUUUGUUUUAAUAUCAGGAUGGCUUCUGCCUGGGAGACCUGCAGGAAAGCUGGUGAAUGUGGCUAUUUUUCUUGCUUCCCAGUCACCGGAGGUGACCCCUCACAGCUGGGCCUCAUCAGGAAGGGCCUGCCUGGACCGGGCGGGAGAACUUCAGCUGAGGUCCAGCCUGACCUCAGCAUGGGAGGAGGGAGGGUUUGUCUGUGCUGGGGAAGGGGCUUCGGCCUGCUCCUGUGGCUUCCAGCAGACCUGUGAAGAGCCGCUGCGGAAAGGGGAGGCAAGACAGCCCAGAAGGCAGAGGAAGCACGGAGAGAAGAGAUAAACAGAGGGCAGCAACAGACUUCUCACUUUGGCAAAAGGCACUUUGGUCUCCCUGUGAAACUUCACCCCUCUUCUUCCCCAAGAGAUGGCCCCUGCUUUAAAGUCCUAGCUGUAAAGACCAUAUAGGUCCUGCUUUGUUUAGGCUCCCUGGGAUGGGGUGUACUAACUUAAAUCCCAGCCGAGCAAUUGGGAGUGAGCCAGCUGACUGACUCCAGCGUCUGGGGCUAGCCAGCUCCUUACUAUUUUUAUGAACUGCUAACAUUUAUUUAAUGCUCACCAUGCCAGAGACAUCCUGCCCACCCCUCACCCCUCACUCCCUGAACCUUGGUCUGCAAUAGCCCUUGCAAGUGGCUACUCUUUAUUUGAUCCACUUUAAAGAUGAGGAUACCAAGUCAUAGAGAGGCCCAAGAUCCUACUGACAGUAAGGACCAAACGUUGAACCCCAUCCUUUCCUUGAAUAAAAAGCAGGAGGAGGUGUGACUGACAGGAAGAAAGGGGGUGACACUUAGCCCGCCCGAAGACCAUGAGGCUGUCUGCCUUGAAGAGAAACAAUCAACUCAGGUGUUCCCAACACUACUCCAUGAGGCUGCACUUCUGUCUAGCACCUCCGUGGCCAGCUGUCCAAGAGGACAUCAGUAGUCCAGCAUGUCUGUGGGAGACUGGACCAUUAUAAAGUAGAUAAGGCAUCUCUCCUGGGGACCAGUUCACGUGUCUCACUCAGCUGGGAGGCAGGGGAGCAUUUUCCCACCAACUAUUUUAUAAGCUCCAUUGUUCCUGCUGAAAGGAAGGCAAGACGGUUCAGGGGUGUUUAGUAUGGUCCGUUAGGGACCCCAGCACGCUGUUUAUGGGUUAUGUUUGGGGUGGUAUGGUUGAAAGCCCAGGGUUUAUGGAUUUGGAUUUUGUUUAGUAGCUUGUGUGGCUUUGAACAAGUUGCUUCCUGUGGCCUCAGUUUCCAUGUCUGCAAAGUGAUAAGAAUCACUGGAGCACCCAGUUCCUGGGGAAUUGUGACGAUUCAGGAGGAGACGAUAAACCUCGAAUCUGG